rnacentral:rRNA from 1 species
GACGAACGCUGGCGGCGCGCCUAACACAUGCAAGUCGAACGAGGUCUUUUGAGAAAGCUUGCUUUCUUGGCUGACCUAGUGGCGGACGGGUGAGUAACACGUGAGCAACCUGCCUUUCAGAGGGGGAUAACGUUUGGAAACGAACGCUAAUACCGCAUAACGUAUCGGAGUGGCAUCGCUUUGGUACCAAAGGAGUAAUCCGCUGGAAGAUGGGCUCGCGCCCGAUUAGGUAGUUGGUGAGGUAAUGGCUCACCAAGCCGACGAUCGGUAGCCGGACUGAGAGGUUGAGCGGCCACACUGGAACUGAGACACGGUCCAGACUCCUACGGGAGGCAGCAGUGAGGAAUAUUGGUCAAUGGGCGGAAGCCUGAACCAGCCAAGUAGCGUGAAGGAUGACUGCCCUAUGGGUUGUAAACUUCUUUUAUAAGGGAAUAAAACGUCUUACGUGUAAGAUUUUGUAUGUACCUUAUGAAUAAGCAUCGGCUAACUCCGUGCCAGCAGCCGC